rnacentral:lncRNA from 1 species
UUGCUAAUUACUAAAGUUGUAUUCUGGUUACUGAAAAAUGAUAUGAAAUUCAAUGUCAAGUUCAUCAUAUUGAAAAAUCUAAAGUAUUGACAUUCAGAAGUUGUGUCUGACAGGUAAACAAAAUUAAGACAGUUGCAACCUUUUACUUGCAUGCUGGUUACCAUAUAAGUCAUUUUGAUCAUGAGUACCUGAGACAGUGUGGAUAAAAUCUGAAUUUCUAUUGUACAAAGGGAGAUAAUCCAAUAAAAAUGCUGAUUUUUAAAA